UACGGAGGGGGCAAGCGUUGUUCGGAAUUACUGGGCGUAAAGGGCGCGUAGGCGGUCAGUUGCGUCGGGCGUGAAAGCCCCGGGCUCAACCUGGGAUGUGCGUUCGAAACGGGCAGACUUGAAGUCGGCAGGGGGUGGUGGAAUUCCCAGUGUAGAGGUGAAAUUCGUAGAUAUUGGGAAGAACACCGAAGGCGAAGGCAGCCACCUGGGCCGAUCUUGACGCUGAGGCGCGAAAGCGUGGGGAGCAAACAGG
rnacentral:misc_RNA from 1 species